UGGGGAAUAUUGCACAAUGGGUGCAAGCCUGAUGCAGCAACGCCGCGUGAACGAUGAAGGUCUUCGGAUCGUAAAGUUCUGUUGCAGGGGAAGAUAAUGAUGCUACCCUGUGAGGAAGCCCCGGCUAACUACGUGCCAGCAGCCGCGGUAAUAUGUAGGGGGCUAGCGUUAUCCGGAUUUACUGGGCGUAAAGGUUGCGUAGGUGGUCUUUCAAGUCGGUGGUUAGAGGCUACGGCUCAACCGUAGUUAGCCUCCGAAACUGGAAGACUUGAGUGCAGGAGAGGAAAGUGGAAUUCCCAGUGUGGCGGUGAAAUGCGUAGAGAUUAGGAGGAACACCAGUAGCGAGGGCGGCGUUCUAGAAUGCAACUGACACUGAGACACGAAAGCGUGGGUAGCAAACAGG
rnacentral:rRNA from 1 species